AUGAGCGAUAAGCUAACCUGUCAUGGCCACAAAGGCACAUAUCAUCAGUACAGAUACAGACAGGCCGCUGCCAUGGCCUUCUUCUUCGUCUUGCUCCUCGCCGCCCAUGGCGCGGCCCCUGCUCUUGGCUUCACGCGGAGCGACUUCCCGCCGGACUUCGUCUUCGGCGCCGCCACCUCCGCGUACCAGUAUGAGGGCGCCGUGGCUGAGGACGGCAGGAGCCCAAGCAUCUGGGACACCUUCACUCACAUUGGGAAAAUGGCGGACAAAAGCACAGGGGACGUCGCUUCUGACGGGUACCACAAGUACAAGGAUGAUGUCAAGCUCAUGGCUGACACUAACCUGGAGGCUUACAGAUUCUCCAUCUCCUGGCCAAGGCUUAUUCCAAAUGGGAGGGGAGCUGUCAAUCCAAAGGGGUUAGAGUACUACAACAACCUUAUAAAUGAGCUGGUGAAACAUGGGAUUCAAAUCCAUGUGAUGCUUUACCAUCUCGAUUUCCCGCAAGUUUUGGAUGAUGAAUAUGGAGGAUGGUUAAGCCCUUGA
rnacentral:rRNA from 1 species